CAGCCGCGGUAAUUCCAGCUCCAAUAGCGUAUAUUAAAGUUGUUGCAGUUAAAAAGCUCGUAGUUGAAUUUCGGGAUUGACGUGAUGGUCGUGCCUUAAGGGGUAUGAACUGUCGCAGUUGAUUUCUCACCUUCUGGAGAAGCAUGAUGUCCUUAAUUGGGUGUCAUGUGGAACCAGGACCUUUACCUUGAAAAAAUUAGAGUGUUUAAAGCAGGCAUUUUGCUCGAAUACAUUAGCAUGGAAUAAUAGAAUAGGACGGCAUGGUUCUAUUUUGUUGGUUUCUAGGAUCACCGUAAUGAUUAAUAGGGGGGGCAUUAGUAUUCAAUUGUCAGAGGUGAAAUUCUUGGAUUUAUUGAAGACUAACUACUGCGAAAGCAUUUUGCCAAGGAUGUUUCAUUAAUCAAGAACGAAAGUUAGGGGAUCGAAGACGAUCAGAUACCGUCGUAGUCUUAACCAUAAACUAUGCCGACUAGGGAUCGGAUGAUGUUAAUUUAUAAUGACUCAUUCGGCGCCUUACGGGAAAC
rnacentral:rRNA from 1 species